AUUCUGCCCAAGCGGGGAAGGAUGAGAAGCUUCGACCAAGGUUCGACUUGAGCGCCAGCGAGAGAGCGUUGCCGCAGGCAACGACCCGAAGGGCGAAGCGCGCAGCGGAGUAAUCCUUCCCCCACCACCA
rnacentral:sRNA from 1 species